AAGGACGACACCCCUUCCAUUCAAAAUCUCUUCCGUCGCCACAUCUCCCUCCAUCUCUCCUUCACGCCAACGUCAUCUCCAAGCUCGGAUCGUCGGACGAUGUUUGCACGCCGGCGGAACCCACUGACGCCUUGCUCCUUUCUUUCGUGCGUCGGCCACGACACCCUCCAGUCGCGGCGUGACUUGCCGAAGCCAUUCAACCGCCGUCGCGUAGCCCAACUCGCCGAACGAUAAUUACCCUACGUCGAACCUUUCACAGGUCACGCAAAAUUGAAGUUCUUGGGUCAAUCUAAGUUUAGGGAUUCAAGUUUUAAAAGAGUUUAAGCCGCUAUCCAGUCAUUCGAAAGGUCGAAUUUAAGCGUUUGGCACAAAUUUGGGCCAAAUUGAAGUGGGGAAAGCGUAUAAUCCCGGGGGAUCGAAUCAUUGAUUGCUACGUGAAUGUGUUUCCGUAGCGCCACCUACGGUUGUCAGGGGAUUCCGGGGCUGAAAGAGGCCGUGACCAGAGAUCCGAGAACCUGAGCCUAGGUGAGGACAUGGAUGGAGGAUUGUGAUAUGGCUUCGGGCCUAGCUUAACCCAUGGUUGGGUGACUCUAUGUGCACAUAGGAGCGGUAUGUAGUUACUAUGGUAGGUGUUAAGUGUGCGUGAGCUCCGUUUGGCCGCGUGUUUUCCUUGUGGAUAUGGAGCACGUGUGAGCUAUUCCCGGGCCGUAUACUUAGUAUGCUAUCAUGGUUGGUUGGAUUGGUUGACGAUUGAUAUCAUGGUGAUAACUAAGGAUGCGUGAGCUAGUUUUGGCCGCGUGAUGCUUUAUCAUGUGCAAGCUAUCUUUGGUCGUAUCUUUAGAUGCCUUGCCAUGGUUGUACGGAUUACAGGGUUGUUGAUAGACUAAUGGGUAUGAGUUAUGAUAUUUUUCCACUAUUAUUAUAUUUCUAAUUCAUAUUUAUAAUUCUUCUCUUUAAGUAUAU